CCUACGGGAGGCAGCAGUGAGGAAUAUGGUCAAUGGGAGAGAUCCUGAACCAGCCAAGCCGCGUGAGGGAAGACGGCCCUAUGGGUUGUAAACCUCUUUUGUCGGAGAACAAAACCCGGGACGUGUCCCGGACUGCGUGUAUCCGCAGAAAAAGCAUCGGCUCACUCCGUGCCAGCAGCCGCGGUAAUACGGGGGAUGCGAGCGUUAUCCGGAUUUAUUGGGGUUAAAGGGUGCGUGGGCGGUCCGUUAAGUCAGCGGUAAAAUUGCGGGGCGCAACCCCGGCGAGCCGUUGAAACUGGCAGACUUGAGUGGGCGAGAGGUAAGCGGAAUGCGCGGUGUAGCGGUGAAAUGCAUAGAUAUCGCGCAGAACUCCGAUGGCGAAGGCAGCGUACCGGCGCCAGACUGACGCUGAGGCACGAAAGCGUGGGGAUCGAACAGGAUUAGAUACCCUAGUAGUC
rnacentral:rRNA from 1 species